ACAGACAGACAGACAGACAGACAGACAGAGGGCGGAGAUGGCCCCUGAUGGAUGGCUUGCAAGCAGGUGCAGAAACUCCAGGACCAGGUUUCUCUGCGGGAGAUCCCUGCGGCCAAGAUCCCGAAGCCCUGCUUCCCUGAGGACAGGCUCCAAGGUGAGCAGAUGAUUUCAACGUUGCUUUUGAUGAAAACCAUCUACCAUCUCAACUUGGAGGAGCGGGAAAGAAAAGAUCAGGACAGAAGGGAGAUAAAAGUCUCAGGAACGAGGAGGCAAAGGAAAUGUCACUGAAGAAAGGCAUCUGCUCCAAAAAGUGGUGAAGGGAGAAGAAGAGGGAGAAGCAUGGCAUCCUCCAAAGAGAACAGGCCGUGAGAUGAUAAAUGAAAGAAUCGGGGAGACUGGGAAGAAAAUGUCUCUGAAGAGAGGAGAGAAACUUAACAGAGUUCCUGGAGAAAUAUGUCAAGGGACGGGGUUGGAGGAUGGGACGUAGUGCCUGCCCAGGAGAAGAGGACAGGCAAGGAAAAUGGAAGACACAGUGAGAGAAGGAAGACGAGGCGCGUGCACGCCAGAGGUGCGUACUGCCGAAGAUGGCCCCUGAUGGAUGGCUUGCAGGCAGGUGCAGAAACUCCAGGACCAGGUUUCUCUGCGGGAGAUCCCUGCAGCCAAGAUCUUGAAGCCCUGCUUUCCCUGAGGACAGGCUCCAAGAUGAUUUCAACGUUGCUUUUGAUGAAAACCAUCUACCAUCUCAACUUGGAGGAGCGGGAAAGAAAAGAUCAGGACAGAAGGGAGAUAAAAGUCUCAGGAGCGAGGAGGUAAAGGAAAUGUCACUGAAGAAAGACAUCUGCCCCAAAAAGUGGUGAAGGGAGAAGAAGAGGGAGAAGCAUGGCAUCCUCCAAAGAGAACAGGCCAUGAGAUGAUAAAUGAAAGCAUCGGGGAGAUUGGGAAAAAAAAGUCUCUGAAGAGAGGAGAGAAACUUAACAGAGUUCCUGGAAAAACAUGUCAAGGGAUGGGGUGGGAGGACGGGACGUAUGGCCUGCCCAGGAGAAGAGGACAGGCAAGGAAAAUGGAAGACGCAGUGAGAGGAAAGGAAGACAAGGUGCGUGCACACCAGAGGUGCAUACUGCCGAAGGUACGGCCGUCCCGAGCACCCCUGUUAUUCGUUCAAUCGUAUUUACUGUGUGCAGAGCACACAGUAAGUACAAUUAGGACAGUGCAAUUCGGCAACA